AAGAGUUAUCUAACUCCCAAAACCAUGUGAACUUACCUAUGUUGCCUCGGCGGGGAACCUACCCGGGAGCUACUCUAGAGUAGCCUACCCGGUACCUACCCGGUAGCUACGCUGUAGUUGUAGGCUUUUACCCGCCGGCGGACCAUCCAAACUCUUACUUUUUUGGCACUUCUGAAUUAUUAUCAUAAUAAGUUA
rnacentral:misc_RNA from 1 species